UCCUACGGGAGGCAGCAGUAGGGAAUCUUCCACAAUGGGCGAAAGCCUGAUGGAGCAACGCCGCGUGGGUGAAGAAGGUCUUCGGAUCGUAAAACCCUGUUGUUAGAGAAGAAAGUGCGUGAGAGUAACUGUUCACGUUUCGACGGUAUCUAACCAGAAAGCCACGGCUAACUACGUGCCAGCAGCCGCGGUAAUACGUAGGUGGCAAGCGUUAUCCGGAUUUAUUGGGUGUAAAGGGAGAGUAGGCGGCAAGGUAAGCGAUAUGUGAAAGCCUUAAGCUUAACUUAAGGAUGGCAUAACGAACU
rnacentral:rRNA from 1 species